AAGUGUGUAUUGAAAAAAGAUAAUGACAGGAUAUUUUGAGAAAGUAAAAAUAUAUUGAGAAAAAGUAAGAAAAGCAAGAACAUUUGAAAUGGGAUUUUUCCAAUCCAUUUGAACAUGAUAAUCACAGCAAAGAAGCAUAAGAUAAGAUGGCUUGUUUAGAAAAAUUGAAUUGAUUUCGUGACAUACAAGCUUCUCAAGGUUUCUUAACAGAUGGGCAAUAAGUUGCUUCACUUUCAACCCUAAGUGUUCUUCAAUUCAUUCAACCAACUUUAUCAUCACUCCCCCCUUCUCCUGUUCUUCUCUCUCUUUCUGGGUGUGAUGGGUCACGAUCUGGCCUUAAGACAAAUUGUUCCGGCGGCUCUGCAGUCUCCUCCUCCACCUCCGCCGACUUCUCUUGCUCCUGGGUUUCGUUUCCAUCCAACAGAUGAGGAGCUGGUUCAGUUCUAUCUUAAGAGAAAGACUUGUGGAAAGCCCUUCAGAUAUGAUGCGGUGAUAGACAUAGAUGUCUACAAGGCUGAGCCUUGGGAGCUUCAAGUCCAUUCAAAGCUAAAGAACCGAGACCUAGAAUGGUACUUCUUCAGUCCUGUAGACAAGAAAUAUGGAAAUGGAUCUCGUUUAAAUCGAGCUACUGAUAAAGGUUACUGGAAGGCAACUGGUAAAGAUCGAUGUGUCAGUCACAAAGAUAAAAAGAUUGGGAUGAAGAAGACACUCGUCUUUCAUAGCGGACGAGCACCUGAUGGAAAACGAACAAACUGGGUGAUGCAUGAAUACAGACUUACUGAUGAAGACUUGGAAAAGGCUGGGGUAGUACAGGAUGCUUUUGUACUGUGUAGAAUCUUUCAAAAGAGUGGUUUAGGACCUCCUAAUGGUGACCGCUAUGCUCCGUUCAUCGAGGAGGAGUGGGAUGAUGAAGCACCUUUGAAUGAUGCUGGAGAUGAAAUGGGAAAUAGAGAUGAUUCACAUUUUCUCGUUGAAGCAAAUGACAGAGAACAGGAUGAUUCUGUUGUGGUCAAAGCUAGUCCUCUUCUGACUGAGCUUCCAGAUGGGUCAAGAAAUAUACACUUGGCUUGCAAGAGGGAAAUGAUAGUAGAUCCAGAGCCAAUUUCAUUGGGCCAGAGUAAAAGAAGAAAGCAUGAUGAUUUGAACAUGAACAAUGGAAAUAAUGGUUCAGAAGAUUCUAUCACAACCAACCAUGAUCUUUGUAAAUCGACAACUGCUGUGGCUGCAAACAAUUUUUCUUCUGCCCUAUUGGAGUUCCCUUUGUUAGCAUCCAGGGAUCCAAAAGUAAAUCAGCAUGCCAAUACUGUUCCCUUCCAUGCUUCAAAUCUUGAAAAAUCUGUGCCACCUGGCUACUUGAAAUUCAUCAGCAAUUUGGAGCAUGAAAUCCUCAAUGUUUCAAUGGAAAGGGAGACGUUAAAGAUAGAAAUGAUGAGGGCACAAGCAAUGAUCAACGUCAUGCAGUCGCGUAUCGAUACCCUUGAUAAGGAAAAUGAUGAGUUGAGGAAGGUUGUUCGAGGCCCUUAGAAGCAACCGUUGGAUCCAAGAAAGUGCUAUUCUCAUUGUUGGUGGGGAGAAAAACACAAGAAACUUGAGUCCUCUCGAACCAGAAGAAUUGCUUGGAGAUGAGAUCUAGGAAUGGAGAUGAUGUAUUGCAGAAAAUUAUGGAUGGUUUAUUCGCACUGAAAAGAGAGCAAUAUAAUCAAUCGUGGAGCAACACAGGCAAUCGUUGGAGAGUAUUCAUUGCGAAAUUGCUAGUUGAUCUCCAUCAAAAGUUCAUUGGCAAAACCUCCAAACCAAAAAUAGAUUUCAUUCUUUUUUAUGGAAGUGCUGCUUAUUAUUUAGAAGGAGAGGUUGAUGUUUGGUUCAUAAUGUAGAGGCUAUUUUGGCGACCUUUCGAAAGAAAGAACAUAGAGAUGUCAUCUUCUUAAGCACUUAAGCAGGAUGACAAGUUUGAAGAACUAUGUAUUCAAAUGGACAUAGUUGAGGGCAUUGUCAUCCUGCAGAGUGAAGAUUAUCAUAUCAAUAGUUUUGUAAGUGAUUUGAGCAAAAAAAAUUUAAAAGUUGUAAUGUCUUUAUUGUAACCGACUACAUUAGAUGA